rnacentral:rRNA from 1 species
AGGUCCAGCCUGCCCAGAGACAAAGUUCAACGGCCGCGGUACCCUAACCGUGCGAAGGUAGCAUAAUCACUUGUUCUUUAAAUGAGGACUCGUAUCAACGGCACUACGAGGGCUAUACUGUCUCCUUUUUCUAAUCAGUGAAACUGAUCUCCCCGUGAAGAAGCGGGGAUCAAAAUAUAAGACGAGAAGACCCCAUGGAGCUUUAAACUCAUCACGCACCUCUGUGCCCCCAUACCCUUAAACACAAGAGAUCUGCGUGCUAGUUUUAGGUUGGGGGGACCACGGAGUAUAACUUAACCUCCAUAACAAAUGGGCUAACACCCUUAUCCAUGAGACACAGCUCUAAGAAUUACUAAACUAAUGCUUAUGACCCGAUAUUCGAUCAAUGAACCAAGUUACCCUGGGGAUAACAGCGCAAUCUACUUCAAGAGCCCGUAUCGACAAGUAGGUUUACGACCUCGAUGUUGGAUCAGGGUAUCCCGGUGGUGCAACCGCUACCGAUGGUUCGUUUGUUCAACGAUUAAAACCCUACGUGAUCUGA